UGUUAGAAGGAGAGUACUCUAAGUAGGAGGCUCUGAAGAAAGAGUCUCUAAGGAGUCUCUUGGGAGAGGCUCUUGAGGACAGGCAGAAGAAUCCCUCUCUGGAGAAGAAUGGCUGGCUGAACUGGUGUCUAUAUCCUUGCUUAGACAGACCUUGUGAUAUCAGGGACUGCAUUAAAAGCAAAGAGCCUUCUGUUAUAUAUAGAGGGAAAGGAAAGCAAAGCAAAACAAAAACAACACUUCUUUUUACUCAGAUGCUGGACAGAGGGAGGAACAAAAAAUAUUCUUGGUCUUGGGAAGAGGAAGAAUGGAGCAGCUCAUCCAGUGCCAGCUGGCAGCAUGUGCCAAUACUUCUCCAGUGGUGAUCUAAGACAACUUGUUUGGAGUCUUUGGUGGAAUACUUCAACAAUUUUUUCUUGGUCUUGUGUCUUCACAGUGUUAUCACUGAAUUAACUAAAAGCCUAGGUGGUAUUCUCAGAAUUUUAGAUGAUGCAAAGCUAAUAAUUAAUAAUUACCAAGGCUUCUUAGUGGUGUCUGAUCUGAACUAUACUACAAAAGAGGCAUUAAAUUAUUUGUUACAAAGGAUUUAAUAGACUAUAACUUUUGAGCAAAUAUAAUAUUUUUUAAAAAAUUUAAAUUAAUUUAUUUAGUCAAUUUAAAACCUUAU
rnacentral:lncRNA from 1 species